rnacentral:rRNA from 1 species
CUCUCCGCCGGCGACCGGCGCACGGGUGAGUAACACGUAUGCAACCUGCCCCUGUCAGGGGGACAACCCGCCGAAAGGCGGGCUAAACCCGCGUACAUGCCACCGGGGCAUCCCGGAGGCAGGAAAGGCUUCGGCCGGACAGGGAUGGGCAUGCGGCGCAUUAGGCAGUAGGCGGGGUAACGGCCCACCUAACCGACGAUGCGUAGGGGUUCUGAGAGGAAGGUCCCCCACACUGGUACUGAGACACGGACCAGACUCCUACGGAAGGCAGCAG